rnacentral:lncRNA from 1 species
GUCUCCUCUAUUGGUGGAGCUACGGAGGUAUCUCCUGAAAGUCACGUGAGUGUUUGUUAACCCCCAAAGCCAAGAGAGGGGAGCUGCAAGAGAGCCAUCCUUAGAGAUCGGGGGUAUCAGCCAGAAAGCGAGACUGCAUCUUGUUUUUUAUUGGAUCUUCUGCUUAUACAUGUCCUUGCUGAUCUGUCUCCAUGCCAUUUUAAGACAGAGGAAAAAAAAUUGGAAACAAACGGCAGAAGAGAGAGAGAGGGUGUGGCCUGUCCUUGAACCUUUGCACGGCAAAUAUAUGAGAAUGUUCCAGUUCAAAUAGACACUACAAACUGUCACUGGCCCUGAACUGGCCCCUGGUACCUCAGUUGAAACCCUAAUAUUGGAAGAAAUGGAGAGGAAGUGUGAAGGAGGAUGUUGGGAAGAAACAUCCUGAGAAAGAGAAUGAGACUAAAGGUUAAAAAUGAUCCAGACUGGAGCAGCCCAGUGGCACAACCUGGUUAAGUUUGCAUGUUCCACUUUAGCAGCCCAGGGUUGGGAUGCCAGUAAAGUCUGAUGUGAAGGCAAAUGAGAA